UACGGAGGGUGGCAAGCGUUAUCCGGAUUCACUGGGUUUAAAGGGAGCGCAGGUGGAUUUGUAAGUCAGUGGUGAAAGGCUUAAGCUUAACUUGGGAACUGCCAUUGAUACUAUAAGUCUUGAAUAUUGUGGAGGUCAGCGGAAUGAUGUCAUGUAGCGGUGAAAUGCUUAGAGAUGACAUAGAACACCAAUUGCGAAGGCAGCUGGCUACACGAUAUA
rnacentral:rRNA from 1 species